rnacentral:rRNA from 1 species
UACGAAGGGAGCUAGCGUUGUUCGGAAUCACUGGGCGUAAAGCGCACGUAGGCGGAUGUGUCAGUCAGGGGUGAAAUCCCGGAGCUCAACUUCGGAACUGCCUUUGAUACAGCACGUCUUGAGUCCGAUAGAGGUGGGUGGAAUUCCUAGUGUAGAGGUGAAAUUCGCAGAUAUCAGGAAGAACACCCGUGGCGAAGGCGGCUCUCUGGUACGUGACUGACGCUGAGACGCGAAAGCGUGGGGAGCAAACAGG